UUGUUGUGGACCAAGUUACGGGACACCUUUCCAAUCAUGUUGGUAAUGCGUUUUAUAAGCAUCGUUCUUAUUUGCUGUAUGAAAAAUGGUCACGCUUAACUCCUACACAUUUUACCUUUUGGCAGAAAUUUAUUCAUACAUGUCAAAUUUAUGGUCAUUCACGAUUAUAAAUGUUCAUAUACGUGUUGCUUUCAUUCAUUUGUGCGAGAUAUUAUUCUUUCAUGCUACAUUGUCUUCAUGUAUUACAACCGAUGCAUACUGAUGUAACUUGUACUUUUAAGUGAUUGGAACUUCCGAUUUGAUCAUUUGAUUUCUGUUUAUCGUGAUAGAUAUAAGUGCAAUGGAAUUAAUUAC
rnacentral:lncRNA from 1 species